GAAGGGGGCGAGCGUUGUUCGGAAUUACUGGGCGUAAAGGGCGCGUAGGCGGCUCUUUAAGUUAGGCGUGAAAGCCCCGGGCUCAACCUGGGAACUGCGCUUAAGACUGAAGAGCUAGAAAACGGAAGAGGGUAGUGGAAUUCCCAGUGUAGAGGUGAAAUUCGUAGAUAUUGGGAANAACACCAGUGGCGAAAGCGGCUACCUGGUCCGGAUUUGACGCUGAGGCGCGAAAGCGUGGGGAGCAAACAGGAUUAGAUACCCUGGUAGUCCACGCCGUAAACGAUGUCUGCUAGAUGUCGGGGGGUUGCCCCUCGGUGUCGCCGCUAACGCAUUAAGCAGACCGCCUGGGAAGUUACGGUCGCAAGAUUAAAACUCGAAGGAAUUGACGGGGGCCCCGCACAACGGUGGAACAUGUUGGUUUAAUUCCAAACAACGCGCCAAAACCUUACCAGUCCUUGACAUGGGGANUUUGGUUUCCCAAAAAUGGAUUCCUUCAGUUCNGCUGGCUCCCNCACAGGUGCUNC
rnacentral:rRNA from 1 species